ensembl:lncRNA
GGGGACUGUGUGACAUGGGGACAGAGUGACAUGGGGACAGAGUGACAUGGGGACAGCGUGACAUAGGGACAGAGUGACAUGGGGACUGGGUGACAUGGGGACAGAGUGACAUGGGGACAGAGUGACAUGGGGACAGCGUAACAUAGGGACAGAGUGACAUGGGGACUGGGUGACAUGGGGACGGAGUGACACGGGGACAGCGUGACAUAGGGACAGAGUGACAUGGGGACUGGGUGACAUGGGGACGGAGUGACACGGGGACAGCGUGACAUAGGGACAGAGUGACAUGGGGACAGAGUGACAUGGGGACAGAGUGACAUGGGGACAGUGUGACAUGGGGACAGCGUGACAUAGGGACAGAGUGACACGGGGACAGAGUGACAUGGGGACUGUGUGACAUGGGGACAGAGUGACAUGGGGACAGAGUGACACGGGGACAGUGUGACACGGGGACAGAGUGACAUGGGGACAGCGUGACACGGGGACAGUGUGACAUGGGGACAGCGUGACAUGAGGACAGCAUGACAUAGGGACAGAGUGAUAUGGGGACUGUGUGACGGGGGACAGUGUGACAUGGGGACAGAGUGACAUGGGGACAGAGUGACACGGGGACAGAGUGACACGGGGACAGAGUGACAUGGGGACAGUGUGACAUGGGGACAGCAUGACAUAGGGACAGCAUGACAUGGGGACAGAGUGACACGGGGACAGCGUGACAUGGGGACUGUGUGACACGGGGACUGUGUGACACAGGGACAGAGUGACAUGGGGACAGUGCGACAUGGGGACAGCGUGACAUGGGACAGCGUGACAUGGGGACUGUGUGACACGGGGACAGCGUGACAUGGGACAGCGUGACAUGGGGACUGUGUGACACGGGGACUGUGUGACACGGGGACACUGGCUCCAAGGAGACACCUCUCAAGGGCUGCUCUGGCAUCCCCCGUGUCCCCAUGUCCCUCUAACUCCGGUGUCCCUCUGUCCCCUCUUCCCCAUGUCCCUAUAUCCCCAGCAUCCCAGUUGUCACCGGCAUCCUGUCCCCAGUGCCCCCAGUGUCCCCAUGUCCCCAUGCCCCCCUCUCCCCAGCAGUAUCCCCACAUCUCCAGUGUCCCCAUAUCUCCAUGUCCCCCUCUCUCCAUCAGUGUCCCCAUGUCCCCACACCCCCCUCUCCCCAGCAGUGUCCCCAUGUCCCCAGUGUCACCAAGUCCUCAUGUCCCCCUUUCUCCAUCAGUGUCCCCAUGUCCCCAUGCCCCUCUCUCCCCAGCAGUGUCCCCACGUCCCCAGUGUCCCCAUGUCCUCAUGUCCCCCUCUCUCCAUCAGUGUCCCCAUAUCUCCAUGUCCCCCUCUCCCCAGCAGUGUCCCCAUGUCCCCAGUGUCCCCAUGUCCUCAUGUCCCCCUCUCUCCAUCAGUGUCCCCAUGUCCCCACGUCCCCGUGCCCCCCUCUCUCCCCAGCAGUGUCCCCACGAGGUGGUGGCCCGGUGGGGCCGGGGGCUCACGGCGAAGCGGUCGUAGAGGCGGUAGGUGAGCAGCGGGUUGGGCAGCUCGCGGAAGUACGCCUUGCAGAGCGAGCUGACGCAGUGGAUGUCCUGCAGGUACACGUCCUUGUGCAG